rnacentral:rRNA from 1 species
UAUUGGUCAAUGGACGCAAGUCUGAACCAGCCAUGCCGCGUGCAGGAAGACGGCUCUAUGAGUUGUAAACUGAUUUUGUACUAGGGUAAACGCUUCUACGUGUAGGAGCCUGAAAGUAUAGUACGGAUAAGGAUCGGCUAACUCCGUGCCAGCAGCCGCGGUAAUACGGAGGAUCAAAGCGUUAUCCGGAUUUAUUGGGUUUAAAGGGUGCGUAGGCGGUUUGAUAAGUUAGAGGUGAAAUACCGGUGCUCAACACCGGAACUGCCUCUAAUACUGUUGAACUAGAGAGUAGUUGCGGUAGGCGGAAUGUAUGGUGUAGCGGUGAAAUGCUUAGAGAUCAUACAGAACACCGAUUGCGAAGGCAGCUUACCAAACUAUAUCUGACGUUGAGGCACGAAAGCGUGGGUAGCAAACGGG